rnacentral:rRNA from 1 species
AUUGAACGCUGGCGGCAGGCCUAACACAUGCAAGUCGAACGAGUGGCGGACGGGUGAGUAAUGUCUGGGAAACUGCCUGCUGGAGGGGGAUAACUACUGGAAACGGUAGCUAAUACCGCAUACCAUCGGAUGUGCCCAGAUGGGAUUAGCUAGUAGGUGGGGUAACGGCUCACCUAGGCGAAGCUCCCUAGCGGGUCUGAGAGGAAGACCAGCCACACUGGAACUGAGACACGGUCCAGACUCCUACGGGAGUCAGCAGUGGGGAAUAUUGCACAAUGGGCGCAAGCCUGAUGCAGCCAUGCCGCGUGUAUGAAGAAGGCCUUCGGGUUGUAAAGUACUUUCAGCGGGGAGGCGUUACCCGCAGAAGAAGCACCGGCUAACUCCGUGCCAGCAGCCGCGGUAAUUC